GUUGUCCCGCAGAAGCAGGACGUUCCAAAAUUUUACUUCAAGCCACAGCAGCCGAAACUCUGGGCCGAAACAUUCAAUU